rnacentral:rRNA from 1 species
GUGCCAGCAGCCGCGGUAAUACGGAGGUGGCAAGCGUUGCUCGGAAUCACUGGGCGUAAAGGGCGCGUAGGCGGGGAGGUAAGUCGGGUGUGAAAUCCCUCGGCCCAACUGAGGAACUGCGCCCGAGACUGCUUCUCUUGAGUCCCGGAGAGGAAGAUGGAAUUCCCGGUGUAGCGGUGAAAUGUGUAGAGAUCGGGAGGAACACCGGUGGCGAAGGCGGUCUUCUGGACGGUGACUGACGCUGAGGCGCGAAAGCGUGGGGAGCAAACGGGAUUAGAUACCCCUGUAGUCC